UAUUAUUACUAUUCGUAUUCUUAUAGUGUAUUUUUAUUAGCGUAUUUACGUAUUAUUAUUAAUUAUUAUCGUAUUCUAUUAGCGUUACAAAAAAAAUCCGAAAUAUUAAACCGGUGUGAAAUAAGCUAUAAUAAUUAUGUAUCGCACGUAUAGCCCAAUAAAUAUUAAACUAUUAAAUAUUACAUAAUAUAUUGGCCAUAAAGUCAUUUAGCGUUAAGUCUCGGCUAUCGUAAUAUUAUUAAUUAAUUAAUUAAUUGUACGUAAAUGUAAUAUUAUUGAAAAAAACAAAAGAAUACACACAUUAACAUUAAUUUAUUAAUCCACGGAAAGUAAUUUAAUAAUAUCAUAGUUCGGUUGGAAACGUCCGGACCCGGGGGCGCCGAUCUCUCCGUAAUAUUUCACAGUCCGUUUAAAAUACGCUCGAAUCAAUAAAAAUGCAACGAAAAUAUUAUGCCGACACGAUUUAGAACAAUAAAAAUCUAUGAUAAUAAUUUUCAUCUAUCGCGGUUUCUCGAACGGUAUUAUAAUUAUUUUUUCUCUCUCGUCAGAAUACGAUAAACGUGCGAUAUUUUCGUGGUUAUUCGCCGGUCACGCAAUACGUUCGGAAUAACAUUAAAAAUUUAAAAAUAAACAAAUCGCACAAAGUUUUUUUAACGUUUUUGGUUCGUAUUAAAACGUAGCUUAUUGUAGAUUCAUAUAAUAUUAUACAUCAUUAUUAUUAUUAUUAUUAUUAUUAUUAUUAUUAUUAUUAUUAUAUACGUCAAUUAAUGUAAUUAAUAAAACAAUACGACUUUACAGUGUGUGACAAUAGCUAUUCGUAUUAUAUAUCGUUUAAGAUAUAUAAUAUUAUAACGUAUUUUUUUUUUUUCUUACCCAUUUGUCAUAAAUAAUUCAUAAAAAUAAUGAUGGUUUCUUUUUUUCUAUCUUUUUUCUAUCUUUUUCGUUUUUGCCGCCUAUAUUAUAAUAUACAAACCGGUGGAUAUCUUUUUUAUAAUAUAGCAGCUAAAUACCGAUUCAGUAUUAUAUUCGUAUAUAAUAUUUUAUAAAAAUUAACGUAACAUCAUAUAUCCCAGAGCAAGAAAAAAAAAAUCAUUAUUAUCACCAUAAUAUUAUUGUUAAUUUUAUUUAUUAAUAUUAUUAUAGGUAAUAUUAUUAUUUAACUUGACGUAACAUUUACUAAGCAAAACACAUUAAUAUUAUAAUAAAUAAUUAUUACAAAAUACUUGUUUUUGUAUAUCAUCAAUACAUAAUUUAGAAAAUAUUAACAAUAUUAAAUGUAUUUCGUUCCCCAAAAAUACCUAUACUUAUAUACAUACCAU